CCUACGGGGGGCAGCAGUGAGGAAUAUUGGUCAAUGGGCGAGAGCCUGAACCAGCCAAGUCGCGUGAAGGAAGAAGGUUCUAUGGAUUGUAAACUUCUUUUGUAAGGGAAUAAAAAGAGUUACGUGUAACUUAUUGUAUGUACUUUACGAAUAAGGAUCGGCUAACUCCGUGCCAGCAGCCGCGGUAAUACGGAGGAUCCAAGCGUUAUCCGGAUUUAUUGGGUUUAAAGGGUGCGUAGGCGGACCCGUUAGUCAGUGGUGAAAGUUUGCAGCUCAACUGUAAAAUUGCCAUUGAAACUGCGGGUCUUGAGUGUAAAUGAGGUAGGCGGAAUGUGUUGUGUAGCGGUGAAAUGCUUAGAUAUAACACAGAACACCAAUUGCGAAGGCAGCUUACUGGGAUACAACUGACGCUGAGGCACGAAAGCGUGGGGAUCAAACAGGAUUAGAUACCCGUGUAGUC
rnacentral:rRNA from 1 species